CUACGGGUCGCUGCAGUCAAGAAUCUUCCACAAUGCCCGAAAGGGUGAUGGAGCGACGCCGCGUGAUUGAUGACGCCCUUCGGGGUGUAAAAAUCUUUUCUGAAGGACGAACGUCGACGGUACUUCAGGAAUAAGGGGCCGCUAAUCUCGUGCCAGCAGCAGCGGUAAUACGAGAGCCCCAAGCGUUAUCCGGAUUUAUUGGGCGUAAAGCGUCCGCAGGUGGUUGUUUAUGUCUUGCCUCAAAUCUUAAGGCUUAACCUUAGGACUGGGUGGGAAACUAAACAACUAGAGGUUGGGAGAGGCUAGUGGAAUGGCUGGUGUAGGGGUUAAAUCCGUUAAUAUCAGCUGGAACACCGAAAGCGAAGGCAGCUAGCUGGAACAAACCUGACACUCAUGGACGAAAGCGUGGGUAGCGAACGGGAUUAGAUACCCUUGUAGUC
rnacentral:rRNA from 1 species